rnacentral:rRNA from 1 species
UGGGGAAUAUUGGGCAAUGGGCGAAAGCCUGACCCAGCAACGCCGCGUGAGGGAAGAAGGGUUUCGGCUCGUAAACCUCUGUCCUAUGGGACGAAGGAAGUGACGGUACCAUAGGAGGAAGCCCCGGCUAACUACGUGCCAGCAGCCGCGGUAAUACGUAGGGGGCGAGCGUUGUCCGGAAUGAUUGGGCGUAAAGGGCGCGUAGGCGGCCUGAUAAGUCUGGAGUGAAAGUCCUGCUUUCAAGGUGGGGAGCAAACAGGAUUAGAUACCCUGGUAGU